AGUUAAGCAAUUAAGCGCACAAGGUGGAUGCCUAGGCAGAGAUAGGCGAUGAAGGACGUGGAAAUCUGCGAUAAGCCUCGGGGAGUCGAUAACAGACUUUGAUCCGGGGAUCUCCGAAUGGGAAAACCCACUGCUAUAUGCAGUAUCACAUACUGAAUACAUAGGUAUGUGAAGCUAACGAGGCGAACUGAAACAUCUAAGUAGCCUUAGGAAAAGAAAUCAACCGAGAUUCCCUAAGUAGCGGCGAGCGAACGGGGACCAGCCCUUAAGCAAGGGAAAGAUUAGUGGAAUGAUCUGGAAAGUUCAGCGAUACAGGGUGAUAGCCCCGUACACGAAAAUCUACCCUUUGUGAAAUCGAGUAAGGCGGGACACGUGAAAUCCUGUCUGAAUAUGGGGGGACCACCCUCCAAGGCUAAAUACUCAUCUCUGACCGAUAGUGAACCAGUACCGUGAGGGAAAGGCGAAAAGAACCCCGGCGAGGGGAGUGAAAUAGAACCUGAAACCUUGUGCGUACAAGCAGUCAGAGCCCGCAAGGGUGAUGGCGUACCUUUUGUAUAAUGGGUCAGCGACUUAAUUUAUGUGGCGAGCUUAACCGAAUAGGGGAGGCGUAGGGAGACCGAGUCUUAACUGGGCGACAGUCGCAUGAAUUAGACCCGAAACCAAGUGAUCUAUCCAUGGGCAGGAUGAAGAUGCCGUAACAGGCAUUGGAGGUCCGAACCGGGAUCUGUUGAAAAAGAUUCGGAUGACCUGUGGAUUGGAGUGAAAGGCUAAACAAACUUGGAGAUAGCUGGUUCUCCUCGAAAACUAUUUAGGUAGUGCCUCGUGUAUAACUGUCGGGGGUAGAGCACUGUUAUGGUCUCGGGGGCCGUCAAGGCUUACCAGCCCAUUGCAAACUCCGAAUACCGACAAGUUCAAUCACGGGAGACAGACAGCGGGUGCUAACGUCCGUUGUCAAGAGGGAAACAACCCAGACCGCCAGCUAAGGUCCCUAAACUUUACUCAGUGGGAAAGGAAGUGGGAAGGCUAAGACAGACAGGAGGUUGGCUUAGAAGCAGCCAUCCUUUAAAGAAAGCGUAAUAGCUCACUGUUCGAGUCGGCCUGCGCCGAAGAUUUAACGGGGCUAAGUAAAGUACCGAAGCUGCGGAUGCCGUAAGGCAUGGUAGAGGAGCGUUCUGUAAGCCUGCGAAGGGAGACUCGCGAGAGCUCCUGGAGGUAUCAGAAGUGCGAAUGCUGACAUAAGUAACGAUAAA
rnacentral:rRNA from 1 species